CCCAGACUCCUACGGGAGGCAGCAGUGGGGGCUCUUGCACAAUGGGGGGCCCCCUGAUGCAGCGCCGCCGCGUGGGUGCAGAAGCGCCUCGGCGCGUAAAGCACUCUCAGCAGGGACGAACAUGACGGUCCCUGAGUAAGAAGCCCCGGCUAACUACGUGCCAGCAGCCGCGGUAAUACGUAGGGGGCAAGCGUUAUCCGGAUUUACUGGGUGUAAAGGGAGCGUAGACGGCAGUGCAAGUCUGGAGUGAAAGGCGGGGGCUCAACCCCCGGACUGCUCUGGAAACUGUACGGCUGGAGUGCAGGAGAGGUAAGUGGAAUUCCUAGUGUAGCGGUGAAAUGCGUAGAUAUUAGGAGGAACACCAGUGGCGAAGGCGGCUUACUGGACUGUAACUGACGUUGAGGCUCGAAAGCGUGGGGAGCAAACAGGAUUAGAUACCCUAGUA
rnacentral:rRNA from 1 species